rnacentral:rRNA from 1 species
GUACACGCUGUGACUAGCAUAUCAAUAAGCGGAGGAAAAGAAACUAACAAGGAUUCUCCUAGUAACGGCGAGUGAAGCGGGAAGAGCUCAAAUUUGAAAUCUUAAAGGGUUUCCCUUUACGAAUUGUAGUUUAAAGAAGUGUUUUCUGUUGAGGUUUUGGUAAAAGUUCUUUGGAAUAGGACAUCAUAGAGGGUGAGAAUCCCGUAUUUGACCUUUACUUUCAACUUUGUGAUACACUUUCAAAGAGUCGGAUUGUUUGGGAAUGCAGUCCAAAAUGGGUGGUAAAUUUCAUCUAAAGCUAAAUAUUGGCGAGAGACCGAUAGCGAACAAGUACCGUGAGGGAAAGAUGAAAAGAACUUUGAAAAGAGAGUUAAACAGUACGUGAAAUUGUCAAAAGGGAAGCGUUUGACACCAGUGUUGUUUUUCUGAAAAUCAAUUAAAGAACUGUUUAUGCUAAGUUGUUUAGACUUUAUCAGCUAACUGUUUAGUUUUGAGCUUUUCUUUAAUGCACUUUUCAGUUAACAAGUCAACAUCAAUUUCUUUUGCUGUAAAAAAGCUUGAGGAAGGUGGCUUGAGAUUCGUCUUAAGUGUUUAUAGCCUCUUGCCUAUGCAGUCGGAGAGAUUGAGGUCUGCAGCGUAGAUCCCUCGGGGCUAAAUGCAUUUGUGCUAAGUUAUAGCAUUUUAUAGACAACUUGUUGACUAUGAUUUGUCUUGUAGCUUACUCGCUUAUGUUAUUUUACCUACGCUUAGGAUGUUGACGCGCGUGUGUGCGUG